CAGUCGCCGCGGUAAUACGUAGGGUGCAAGCGUUAAUCGGAAUUACUGGGCGUAAAGCGUGCGCAGGCGGUUCUAUAAGACAGAUGUGAAAUCCCCGGGCUCAACCUGGGAACUGCAUUUGUGACUGUAGAGCUGGAGUGCGGCAGAGGGGGAUGGAAUUCCGCGUGUAGCAGUGAAAUGCGUAGAUAUGCGGAGGAACACCGAUGGCGAAGGCAAUCCCCUGGGCCUGCACUGACGCUCAUGCACGAAAGCGUGGGGAGCAAACGGGAUUAGAUACCCCAGUAGUCCCUGUCUCUUAUAC
rnacentral:rRNA from 1 species